AUGGAGAAGCAAACCAGAGGCUACAAAGCUCACGUUCUCGUUAUCCCCUUCCCUGCCCAAGGCCACAUUAAUCCAAUGCUCCAAUUCUCCAAGCGCUUACUCUCCAAAGGCAUCAAACCCACCUUCGCCAACACCGUCUACAUCUCCAAGUCUAUGCACGGUGCCGACGCCGCCUGCUCCAUCGCCCUCGCCACCAUCUCCGACGGCUACGACGACGGUGGACAUGCCCAGGCCGAAAGCCCUGAGACCUACCUCGCCAAGUUCGAGGAAGUUGGGUCGCGAACUCUAGCCUCUCUCAUCAAGGAGCUCGUCGACGUCGGCCAGCCGGUUGAUGCCGUGAUCUACGACGGAUUCUUGCCGUGGGCUCUCGAUGUGGCCAAGGAAUUUGGGCUGGUCGGAGUUGCGUUUUUCACUCAAUCUUGCGCCGUCAACAACAUAUAUUACCAUGUCCAGCGGGGGAUUCUUCCGGUUCCGCUGUCGGGUUCGCCGGUUCUGGUUCCAGGGUUGCCGCCGUUGGAGCCAUGGGAGACGCCUUCUUACGUGCAUGAUCAUGGGGCGUAUCCUGGUUUCGUUCACAUGGUGCUGAAUCAGUUCUGUAAUAUUGAAAAAGCGGACUGGGUCCUCUUCACCGUUUUCUACAAGUUGGAGGAAGAGGUGUUGGAUUGGAUGUCAAAACUGUGGCGGGUGAGAGCAAUAGGCCCAACGCUUCCAUCCAUGUACGUGGACAAGCGGCUCCAAGACGACAAAGACUACGGCAUCAACCUCUUCAAGCCACACUCCGCCGCCUGCAUGGACUGGCUCAACCAGAAGCCGCCCGGCUCCGUCGUCUACGUCUCCUUCGGCAGCAUGGCCGAUCUCGACUCGGAACAAAUGGAAGAGGUCGCCUGGGGAUUAGACCAAAGCAACUACAGCUUCCUGUGGGUGGUGAGAGCUUCCGAACAAGCCAAGCUGCCGAAAGAUUUCGAGAAGUCCGAGAAGGGGCUGGUGGUGGCGUGGAGUCCACAGCUUGAGGUUUUGUCUCACGAAUCGAUGGGCUGCUUUGUCACGCACUGUGGGCUCAACUCAGUGUAUGAAGCGCUGAGCUUGGGAGUGGCUAUGGUAGCGGUGCCGCUAUGGACGGACCAGACGACGAACGCCAAGUACGUGGAGGAUGUUUGGGGAGUGGGAAUCCGAGCGGGAAAGGACGAGAAAGGGGUUGUGCGAAGAGAAGUGUUGGAACAUUGCUUAAGAGAGGUGAUGGAAGGAGAGAGAGGAAAGCGGAUUAAGGAGAACUCGGCCAAGUGGAAGAGAUUGGCGAUUGAGGCGGUUUCCGAAGGCGGUUCUUCCGAAAAGAACGUCGAUGAACUUGUGGAUUUUCUCCAGAAUCUUAACACUUCGUUUUGAGUGUUGGCUAGCUGGCCCCGCAUGCAUCCUGGGGAUUUUGGCCAGAUAAUGCUGAUUUUACCAAAACGUAUAAGUUCAAUCAAACACGUGUUAGAGGACUCCAAUCUUCGUUUGGAAAGCAGCCCUGAAGAAUCAAAGGCCUGCCCAAACACGCAAUCUGAUUAAAACCCUUUGACUGAUUGUAGCCGCACGACGACGGCAAGUGUUGAUUUAUUUUAUAUAUUUAUCGUGGUUUAUAAAAAUGAAGGGAUCAACGUCGCUAGCUGCUAACCAAGUUAUAUUGUAAAGAACAUCAACCGCACCAAAAUAGGAUGCCACUUGGGAUGACAAAAUGAUUCUGAUGGUAAAUGAGUCAUAUUAUUUGUACAGAAUAUAUAUUACAGAAAUAUUUAUAGAAGAAUUAAAAUAUUUAUUUUGUCUCUGUAA